rnacentral:rRNA from 1 species
CCUACGGGAGGCAGCAGUCGAGAAUCUUUCACAAUGGGGGAAACCCUGAUGCUGCGACGCCGCGUGGGGGAAUGAAGGUCUUCGGAUUGUAAACCCCUGUCAUGUGGGAGCAAAUUAAAAAGAUAGUACCACAAGAGGAAGAGACGGCUAACUCUGUGCCAGCAGCCGCGGUAAUACAGAGGUCUCAAGCGUUGUUCGGAAUCACUGGGCGUAAAGCGUGCGUAGGCUGUUUCGUAAGUCGUGUGUGAAAGGCGCGGGCUCAACCCGCGGACGGCACAUGAUACUGCGAGACUAGAGUACUGGAGGGGGAACCGGAAUUCUCGGUGUAGCAGUGAAAUGCGUAGAUAUCGAGAGGAACACUCGUGGCGAAGGCGGGUUCCUGGACAUUAACUGACGCUGAGGCACGAAGGCCAGGGGAGCGAAAGGGAUUAGAUACCCCAGUAGUC